rnacentral:rRNA from 1 species
UACGGGGGGGGCAAGCGUUGUUCGGAAUUACUGGGCGUAAAGGGCUCGUAGGUGGCCAACUAAGUCAUACGUGAAAUCCCUCGGCUUAACCGGGGAACUGCGUCUGAUACUGGAUGGCUUGAGGUUGGGAGAGGGAUGCGGAAUUCCAGGUGUAGCGGUGAAAUGCGUAGAUAUCUGGAGGAACACCGGUGGCGAAGGCGGCAUCCUGGACCAAUUCUGACACUGAGGAGCGAAAGCCAGGGGGGCAAACGGG